UACGGAGGGGGCUAGCGUUGUUCGGAAUUACUGGGCGUAAAGCGCACGUAGGCGGCUUUGUAAGUUAGUGGUGAAAGCCCAGGGCUCAACCCUGGAAUUGCCUUUAAGACUGCAUCGCUAGAAUUGUGGAGAGGUAAGUGGAAUUCCGAGUGUAGAGGUGAAAUUCGUAGAUAUUCGGAAGAACACCAGUGGCGAAGGCGACUUACUGGACACAUAUUGACGCUGAGGCGCGAAAGCGUGGGGAGCAAACGGG
rnacentral:rRNA from 1 species